AAUGAACGUUGGCGGCGUGGAUUAGGCAUGCAAGUCGAGCGAUAACCGUAGCAAUACGGCGAAAGCGGCGAAAGGGAGAGUAAUGCGUGGAUAACCUACCCCCGGGUCCGGGAUAGCUGCGGGAAACUGUAGGUAAUACCGGAUGACAUCCUCGGAUCAAAGGUGUGAUUCCGCCCGAGGAGGGGUCCACGUCCUAUUAGCUAGUUGGCGAGGUAACGGCUCACCAAGGCAAAGAUGGGUACGGGGCGUGAGAGCGUGCCCCCGCUCACUGGGACUGAGACACUGCCCAGACACCUACGGGUGGCUG
rnacentral:rRNA from 1 species